GACGAACCGUCCAAACGUUAUUCGGAAUCACUGGGCUUACAGAGUUCGUAGGCGGUCUGGAAAGUUGGGUGUGAAAUCCCUCGGCUCAACCGAGGAACUGCGCUUGAAACUACCAGACUCGAGGGAGAUAGAGGAAAGCGGAACUGAUGGUGGAGCGGUGAAAUGCGUUGAUAUCAUCAGGAACACCGGUGGCGAAGGCGUCUACCUGGACCGGUUCUGACGCUGAUGCGCGAAAGCGUGGGUAGCAAACAGG
rnacentral:rRNA from 1 species